rnacentral:rRNA from 1 species
UACAGAGGUGGCAAGCGUUGUUCGGAAUUACUGGGCGUAAAGGGCGCGUAGGCGGCCUUCUAUGUCGGACGUGAAAGCCCCAGGCUUAACCUGGGAACUGCGUCUGAUACUGGGAGGCUUGGAUUCGGGAGAGGGAUGUGGAAUUCCAGGUGUAGCGGUGAAAUGCGUAGAUAUCUGGAGGAACACCGGUGGCGAAGGCGGCAUCCUGGACCGAGAUCGACGCUGAGGCGCGAAAGCUAGGGGAGCAAACGGG